AAUAUUGCGCAAUGGGGGGAACCCUGACGCAGCGACGCCGCGUGAGCGAUGAAGGCCUUCGGGUCGUAAAGCUCUGUCCUCAGGGAAGAAGAAAGUGACGGUACCUGAGAAGAAAGCCCCGGCUAACUACGUGCCAGCAGCGGCGGUAAUACGUAGGGGGCGAGCGUUGUCCGGAAUUAUUGGGCGUAAAGGGUGCGUAGGCGGCUUCUUAAGUCAGAUGUGAAAGACCACAGCUUAACUGUGGGGUUGCAUUUGAAACUGGGGAGCUUGAGUGCAGGAGAGGAAAGUGGAAUUCCUAGUGUAGCGGUGAAAUGCGUAGAGAUGUGGAGGAACACCAGUGGCGAAGGCGGCUUUCUGGUCUGUAACUGACGCUGAGGCGCGAAAGCGUGGGGAGCAAACA
rnacentral:rRNA from 1 species